CCUCUUUUCACUGCUAGCAAGUACUCUGCAUUUGAUAUACUUUGAAGGGCUGUCCACACUGCCAACAGUAACUAUGAGGACAGCUGUAACUAUAACGAUAUGGGCAUCCACACUGACCAACUAUACUGAAAACCUAUCGGAAAUAUAAUUCAUGUUUUCAUGCAAUUCGAUGGAUUCUGAUUGGCUGUCAUUUUUCAGAAUCGCUCUGAAAGUGACGCUCAACAGUAUUUAUUGUUAUUGUUAUUGUUGUUUUUAUUGUUAUUGUUAUCAUUGGCAGUGUGGAACAGGCCUUAACCGUUGAAUUGUGACAUCAGUGACAUCAACAUUCCAUUCAUUCUUGGAACCGCGCAAGAGAGGGCAGAAUAACAAACGUUACAUUUGACAGUUUAUGAGGAAUGUGAGCAAAUUGAUUAUGGAGGGUUGCACAGAUUAACACGUGAAGAUAGGUGAGUGUACAUAUUAACACGUUUAGAUAGGUGAGUGUACAGAUUAACACGUUUAGAUAGGUGAGUGUACAGAUUAACACGUUUAGACAGGUGAGUGUACAGAUUAACACGUUUAGAUAGGUGAGUGUACAGAUUAACACGUUUAGAUAGGUGAGUGUACAGAUUAACACGUUUAGAUAGGUGAGUGGACAGAUUAACACGUUUAGAUAGGUGAGUGCACAGAUUAACACGUUUAGAUAGGUGAGUGUACAGAUUAACACGUUUAGACAGGUGAGUGUACAGAUUAACACGUUUAGAUAGGUGAGUGUACAGAUUAACACGUUUAGAUAGGUGAGUGUACAGAUUAACACGUUUAGAUAGGUGAGUGUACAGAUUAACACGUUUAGAUAGGUGAGUGUACAGAUUAACACGUUAAAACAGGUGAGUGUACAGAUUAACACGUUUAGAUAGGUGAGUGUACAGAUUAACACGUUUAGAUAGGUGAGUGUACAGAUUAACACGUUUAGAUAGGUGAGUGUACAGAUUAACACAUUAAAACAGGUGAGUGUACAGAUUAACACGUUAAGAUAGGUGAGUGUACAGAUUAACACGUUUAGAUAGGUG
ensembl:lncRNA